CCAACGCUGCUUGUUUCGCUGGUACCCAUUCCGAGAAUAUUAGAGCAAUCCUAAAUGGACCUUCCAACUGCGAGAAGUGACCUCCAUUGAUAGAUCCAUUGUACGUGGGGUUACAACCUGUUCCCUAGCAGUCGGUCUAUGGGCUGUCAAGUUGACCUAUUAGCCAUAGUCCUGUAGGUGUAAAGUGCCGAGGGGUCGCGAGAAGAGACUUCCACCGUGUCUCGACUCUUGAUGUGGGAGGUGAUUCCUCCGAUCGUGUCAGGUUCACCAGGUGAUGUGGCCUUGC